UAUUAUUAAAUUCAUUAUUUUGCACAUAUAAAUAUAGAUAUAGAUAUAGAUGUAGAUGUAGAUAUAGAUGCAUAUAUAACCAAUUGCAUGUGAAAAUACGUUUGUAGAAAAGAGUAAUAUACAUGAAUAGCUAAUAUAAACACCUCUAAGAAUAGAAAUUUACAAAUCAACAAAAUAAUUAAAUAUUAACCAGUGACUCUUUGAUAAUGAUGAUGGUGAUGAUGGUGAUGGUGAUGAUGAUGAUGAUGAUGGUGGUGAUGAUGGUGAUGAUGCUGAUGAUGAUAUACACUAUAAAUUAAUGAGUCUUUCUUGUUAAAUUAUUUCUCUUUGAUGUCUCAAAAUAUAUUAAUUUCCUUUUUACUGCCACUCACCUCUAAAAAAAAAUUAUAUUUCACAUAUAUUUCUCCAACACCCUUUGUGUGCCUCUUUUCUACUCUUUUCUGAAUACACACACACACACAAACACACAUACAAAUGUGCACACACAUAGAUAUAUACACAUGCUCAUACACACAUAUAUACAGCCAAACACACACACUCACACACAUGCAACAAACAUACAUA